GAUGAACGCUGGCGGCGUGCCUAAUACAUGCAAGUCGAGCGAACAGACGAGGAGCUUGCUCCUCUGACGUUAGCGGCGGACGGGUGAGUAACACGUGGAUAACCUACCUAUAAGACUGGGAUAACUUCGGGAAACCGGAGCUAAUACCGGAUAAUAUAUUGAACCGCAUGGUUCAAUAGUGAAAGACGGUUUUGCUGUCACUUAUAGAUGGAUCCGCGCCGCAUUAGCUAGUUGGUAAGGUAACGGCUUACCAAGGCAACGAUGCGUAGCCGACCUGGGAGGAGGAUCGGCCACACUGGAACUGGUGCACGGUCCAGACUCCUACGGGAGGCAGCAGUAGGGAAUCUUCCGCAAUGGGCGAAAGCCUGACGGAGCAACGCCGCGUGAGUGAUGAAGGUCUUCGGAUCGUAAAACUCUGUUAUUAGGGAAGAACAAAUGUGUAAGUAACUAUGCACGUCUUGACGGUACCUAAUCAGAAAGCCACGGCUAACUACGUGCCAGCCGCCGCCGUAA
rnacentral:rRNA from 1 species